rnacentral:rRNA from 1 species
AUACAGAGGUUGCAAGCGUUAAUCGGAAUUACUGGGCGUAAAGCGUACGUAGGCGGUUUGGUAAGUCAGAUGUGAAAGCCCUGAGCUCAACUUGGGAACUGCAUUUGAAACUGCCUGACUAGAGUGUGAUAGAGGAUAGUGGAAUUUCCGGUGUAGCGGUGAAAUGCGUAGAGAUCGGAAGGAACACCAGUGGCGAAGGCGGCUAUCUGGAUCAACACUGACGCUGAGGUACGAAAGCGUGGGGAGCAAACAGGAUUAGAAACCCCGGUAGUCC